rnacentral:lncRNA from 1 species
AUUUAAUCAAACAUAUGAUGCACUGAUGGAUGGAUGUUGCAGGUGGACAACGGUGGCACUAAGGCCUGCAGUAGCGAGUGGAGAGCGCCCAGGCCGAGCUCCCCAAUGUUCAUGUCGUACAGGAGCUAAUCCAUGCUGAGUGGGCCAUAUCGGUCUUUGUCUGCACGCAUUAUUAUGUCCUCUUCUUAUCUCCCCCGCUUGUGCCAUCGGAGAAUAUCAAGGAUGUGGCAUCGGCACUGAGCCGCCACUGGUAGGCAAGGGCAUGUGGCCUGGUCGUCAACGAUGAGAUUGGGGUCGGCACAUACCAAAGCGACACACAGAGGCAGAGUUCUAUAAAAGUAAGGAAUCCAUCUAAUUCUACUUGAGAACCUUCCAACACGAGGUAACAUCAUUUGUGGCAUGGGUAUAUCUUAUAUCUACUAAAUAUCACUUCUAGAUAUUGGCGUUACGUACCAAGUGUAUACAUCUAUAUUGCCAGUGAUUUUGCGCUUUUGAUAAUUAGUCAAUAUUUUCAUGUAUUUGUUACAACAGUAUGGUGUUAGCAAGCGUAUUGUCUUGUGAAAAAUUGGUGAUUGCAUAUGCACUUCGUAUCUAAUUGUGUUUUUUCUGAGCUAAUAUUUUUACUAAUUAUUCUAUUCUUUCCACUUCUUGUAUAAACAGACCAGGACCAGUAUUCUGAACCUCAUACCAUUAAGGUAAUCAGCUAUUUUUUUAUAGAUGCACUAACUGAUUGCUAAUUUCAGCUUUGUUCUUCAUUACUGCAGGGCAUAUCUGUAUUCUAAGGAAAAUUAGUACACUUGGUAAUUCUUUCUUGACAUGGCUAUUCCAUCGAGGUUUAAUUCUAUGAUACACAACUAAUAGUUUGUUGGUAUGCAUAACUAUCUUGCCAAAGGUUUUGCCUGUGUAUAUCACUUCGUAGUUGAAAGUGUUUGAUGCAAUCAUUAUGAGCAUCAUGUUUGCCUUUUUGUGGAAAAUUAGUGUAGAACUCUUCUUGCUACUACCAUCAACUCUCAACAAGUCAGUGAUGGACAGGAUUAUCAUUCAUGUACUUGAACAGUUGAUUCAGGGUCUAUUCAUAAAUGUGUUAAUUUGUUUUUGUAUGACUCCUUUCUUCCAUCAAUGUUUUUACAUCCAAAUGAACUACACUAUUCUU